rnacentral:tRNA from 1 species
CUUAGGUAGCUUAAAUAUAGAGCAUUACAUUGAAGCUGUAGUGGUGGUAAUUUUACCCUUAGGUAU